GAUGAACGCUGGCGGCGUGCCUAAUACAUGCAAGUCGAGCGAACAGACGAGGAGCUUGCUCCUUUGACGUUAGCGGCGGACGGGUGAGUAACACGUGGGUAACCUACCUAUAAGACUGGGAUAACUUCGGGAAACCGGAGCUAAUCCCGGAUAAUAUUUCGAACCGCAUGGUUCGAUAGUGAAAGAUGGCUUUGCUAUCACUUAUCGAUGGACCUGCGCCGUAUUAGCUGGUUGGUAAGUUAACGGCUUACCAAGGCAACGAUUCGUAGCCGACCUGAGAGGGUGAUCGGCCACACUGGAACGGAGACACGGUCCAGACUCCUACGGGAGGCAGCAGUAGGGAAUCUUCCGCAAUGGGCGAAAGCCUGACGGAGCAACGCCGCGUGAGUGAUGAAGGUCUUCGGAUCGUAAAACUCUGUUAUUAGGGAAGAACAAACGUGUAAGUAACUGUGCACGUCUUGACGGUACCUAAUCAGAAAGCCACGGCUAACUACGUG
rnacentral:rRNA from 1 species